GAUGAAGAACGUAGCGAAAUGCGAUAAGUAAUGUGAAUUGCAGAAUUCAGUGAAUCAUCGAAUCUUUGAACGCACAUUGCGCCCGCCAGUAUUCUGGCGGGCAUGCCUGUCCGAGCGUCAUUUCAACCCUCAAGCCCCCGGGCUUGGUGUUGGAGAUCGGCGAGCCCCCCGGGGCGCGCCGUCUCCCAAAUAUAGUGGCGGUCCCGCUGUAGCUUCCUCUGCGUAGUAGCACACCUCGCACUGGGAAACAGCGUGGCCACGCCGUAAAACCCCCCACUUCUGAGAGGUUGACCUCGGAUCAGGUAGGAAUACCCGCUGAACUUAAGCAUAUCAAUAAGCGGAGGA
rnacentral:misc_RNA from 1 species